AUUGAACGCUGGCGGCAGGCCUAACACAUGCAAGUCGAGCGGAUGAAGGGAGCUUGCUCCUGGAUUCAGCGGCGGACGGGUGAGUAAUGCCUAGGAAUCUGCCUGGUAGUGGGGGAUAACGUCCGGAAACGGGCGCUAAUACCGCAUACGUCCUGAGGGAGAAAGUGGGGGAUCUUCGGACCUCACGCUAUCAGAUGAGCCUAGGUCGGAUUAGCUAGUUGGUGGGGUAAAGGCCUACCAAGGCGACGAUCCGUAACUGGUCUGAGAGGAUGAUCAGUCACACUGGAACUGAGACACGGUCCAGACGCCUACGGAAGGCAGCAGUGGGGAAUAUUGGACAAUGGGCGAAAGCCUGAUCCAGCCAUGCCGCGUGUGUGAAGAAGGUCUUCGGAUUGUAAAGCACUUUAAGUUGGGAGGAAGGGCAGUAAGUUAAUACCUUGCUGUUUUGACGUUACCAACAGAAUAAGCACCGGCUAACUUCGUG
rnacentral:rRNA from 1 species